rnacentral:rRNA from 1 species
AUGAACGCUGGCGGCGUGCCUAAUACAUGCAAGUCGAGCGAACAGACGAGGAGCUUGCUCCUCUGACGUUAGCGGCGGCCGGGGGAGUAACACGUGGAUAACCUACCUAUAAGACUGGGAUAACAUCGGGAAACCGGAGCUAAUACCGGAUAAUAUAUUGAACCGCAUGGGUCGAUAGUGAAAGACGGUUUUGCUGUCACUUAUAGCUGGAUCCGCGCCGCAUUAGCUAGUUGGUAAGGUAACGGCUUACCAAGGCAACGAUGCGUAGCCGACCUGAGAGGGUGAUCGGCCACACUGGAACUGAGACACGGUCCAGACUCCUACGGGAGGCAGCAGUAGGGAAUCUUCCGCAAUGGGCGAAAGCCUGACGGAGCAACGCCGCGUGAGUGAUGAAGGUCUUCGGAUCGUAAAACUCUGUUAUUAGGGAAGAACAAAUGUGUAAGUAACUAUGCACGUCUUGACGGUACCUAAUCAGAAAGCCACGGCUAACUACGUG